AUAAAGUACUUUAUCAUCCAAAUAUUCAUUUUUGAAGGUAUUUGCAAAAAUUAUACUUUAUUCUCCUAUAGUUUUUAUCUUAUCUUAAAAAACUUAGAUAAUGUGGAGUAAUUCUUCCAUAUAUAAAUGCAUGAAUCUUAUACAUCUAUUAGGUAGAAUGUUCAAUAAUAUUUUCAGAUCACCCUAUAUAUCCACAUAUUCCAGCAAAAAAAAAAAAAAAAAUUGUAUAACGACUAGCCAAAAGUUAGUAUUUCGCCAUCCACAAAAGUGUUAAUUUGUUACUCAUUUCUAAUAUACACUUUAAAUUAUUUGGUAUAUAUUCAAGUAUAUAUCGUUUUAUAACUAUAGGGCAUAUACAUUGACAAAC
rnacentral:lncRNA from 1 species